AUUGAACGCUGGCGGCAUGCCUUACACAUGCAAGUCGAACGGCAGCACGGGAGCAAUCCUGGUGGCGAGUGGCGAACGGGUGAGUAAUAUAUCGGAACGUGCCCAGUCGUGGGGGAUAACGUAGCGAAAGAUACGCUAACACCGCCUCCGAUCUAUGGAUGAAAGAGGGGGAUCGCAAGACCUAGCGCGAAUGGAGCGGCCGAUAUCAGAUUAGGUAGUUGGGGAGGUAAAGGCUCACCCAGCCGACGAUAUGUAGCUGGUCUGAGAGGACGACCAGCCACACUGGGACUGAGACACGGCCCAGAUUCCUACGGGAGGCAGCAGUGGGGAAUUUUGGACAAUGGGCGCAAGCCUGAUCCAGCAAUGCCGCGUGCAGGAUGAAGGCCUUCGGGUUGUAAACUGCUUUUGUACGGAACGAAACGGCGAGCUCUAAUACAGUUUGCUAAUGACGGUACCGUAAGAAUAAGCACCGGCUAACUACGUGCCAGCCGCCGCCGUAA
rnacentral:rRNA from 1 species